CCCUCCCCCCUCCCUCACAAGCAUACCCAGCCUGUAUCCCGCUGCAAUUCCAUCAAUUAUAAGUACAUACUGUGCCAAUCUCCUUCGGCCCGAACCGCACGGUGCCGUCUUCACUAGUGGACUACUACCAAAUGCAUAUUGUCUGCACAAUUUUUUACACUUCCUACUACUGUAUGUACGUAUUGACUGCACAAUUUGUUCCUGCUAUGUACGUACUCAUGUAUUGUGAACCUUCACAAUAAAACUGCACUGAAUGCAGUUUGUUUACGAGUAAUUAGUCAGGCGUGUCAGUUUGCCGAACCGACCAACGCAUGAGCUAGUUCUUGGUUUCCGGUGUUUGUCUGUCUCAUCCUAGUUGCAAGAGAAUAACAGGCUCAAGGAGGAGCUGACGAAGAAGACACGACUGCUGCAGAGGGUUGUAAGUGCUCACACCCCACACAAUCAUUCAUUCACCCCCUUUUGUUCACCGGGGCAUGACUGCAGCCAUAAUGAAUCCUAUGACACUGGUGUUGCUGCCAUAGCAUGCCUAUAUGAAUGAAUAUAUAUAUAUCUUUUUUGACGUGCUCUGCUCUCUGUUGAUUUGGUUUUAGAGCGAGGACGCCGCAUCCCAGGCCACUUUCGGAUGAAUUUGGGCAACUGAUUUGCUGUAGUCCAAAUUUACGUGUUUAUGCUUAUAUUGAUUGUUUGCAUUGUUAUCUAUAUGUGACAAUGCAACAGUUGUUCGAGGCAUCAAGCCAUGAUAACUUGGCAUAUCUGUUUAUGCUUAGAUAUAAAGAAACCAAAUAUAUAUUCUGUCUUAAAAUGGAACCAAUUAUAUAUAAUCCAUGUAAAAUGAUUAUGCUUUUAUCAUGUUAGUUUUGCAGUUGCUCUUUCUCCCCCGUUACUUUUCUUUACUUCUUUUUUGGGACACGUGGAAAUACUGAUGCGGCUCACUUCGUCGCAGGUCUCCGCCAGUGAGUUUUUGGAACCUCUUUGUCAAGCAGGUCUCUGCCAGCAUUGGGAUGGCAAUGCCACACAUUGAUGUAUCGAUACUUUCUGGUCGCAUGAAAUAACUACGAGAGGCUUAAGCAGGAGCAUGAUAAGAAGGUGGGGUUGCUGAGGAAGCAGGAGGUGAGGGGCAUGGACUACCUCAAGAUGGAGAAGAACAAGAUGGAGAUGGAGAGCCUCGAGUCCAAGAUGCUUGUGGCCACCCAGUCCAUCGACACCACCACCUCCGAGAUCAUCAGGCUCAGAGAAUCAGAGCUAUUCCCUCAGAGGUGAUCGAUGCUGAGUAGCACGGCCCGGUGGCGCUGUGCUCUUCAACCACUCGGAGAAGGACUUCCCUGUGAAGCCUGGUUGCCAUGUCGCACAGAUGAUUGUCCAGGUGAUUUCGACGCCGGAGGUCGCCCAGGUGUGGAUGACCUUGACGCCACCAUCCGGGAGAGGGAGGAUUCGAGUCCACCAACGGCUGAACUCCAAGCCUAGGUUGAUACAUUUAGAGAAGUGGUCUGUUUAGGUUGGUGGUGGAGCACUAGGGAAGGUACCCACCUUACGAUGAUGGUUAUGUGUGUCUGAUGUUAAAUGGAAUCUUGAGAUGUUCUGUGACAUGUUAAAUGGAAUAUUGAGAUGGUUCAGUGACA